rnacentral:lncRNA from 1 species
UGACGCGUGGUUCCUGCUUAUCUCAAUAGAUAAAUUCCACGUGGAAUUUCUUAGUACUUUUGAUACCCAUCACCACCUCCAAAUAAGGAAAACUGAAGAAAAAAAGAAUCAAGGUCCUGGAACCCUCUUACCUGUCAAUGACUUUCCCUCUUGGAAUUUGAGGGAACAACUGGAAUGCCCCCAGCUUUUCCCACAGAUGCUCUUCACCAAGAGUCCUGCAGUUUCCUGCCUUAACAGUGCUUGGACUGAACGGGCACUCAUCCCCCACCCUGCCUGGCGCUCAGAGCCAACCUUUCAUCGCCUCUUCACAGCUCCCUCAGACUACCCCAGCCUCCACCACCGCCACCACCUCUCCUCAGCCACGUGCUAUGAGGACCACGUCCCCCUCACAGGUAUGCCAGGACUACCACCUUGACUCAGAGGCCGCCAUCAACUGCCAGAUCAACCUGGAGCUCUAUGCUUCCUACAUCUUCCUGUCCAUGUCUUACUACUUUGAGAUGAUGUGGCUUUGAAGAACUCUGCCAAAUGCUUUCUUCACCAAUCUCAUAAGACGAGGAAACAUGCUGAGAAACGGAUAAAGCUGCAGAACCAACGAGGUGGCCAUUCCUUCAGGAUAUCAAGAAACCAGAUCACGAUGACUGGGAGAAUGGGCUGAAUGCAACAGAGUGUGUGUUACACUUGGGAAAAAGCAUGAAUCAGUCACUACUGGGACUGUACUCACAAACUGGCCACUGACGAAAAUAGCCCCCAUUUGUGUGCCUUCAUUGAGAGUCAUUACUUAAAUAAGCAGACAAAAUUCUUCAAAGAAUUGGAUGACCACUAUAACCAACUUUUCCAUUAUGGGGCCCCCAGAAUCUGGCAUGGCAGGGUAUCUCUUUGACAAGCACACCCUGGAAGACAAUGAUGGGAAGAACUGAGCCUUAGGAUGUUUCCCAUAGCCAUGAGAGGACUUCCCUGGUCACCAGGCAGCGCAUGAAUGUUAGGGUUACAUUUAUCUUUUCUGUAAGUUGUACCAAAACAUCUACUUAAAUUCUUUCAUUUGUACCAUUCCUUCAAAUAAAGUAACUUGGUGACUCC